CCAGGCCUUGGGCCGCCAGCGGGGUCCCGUCGUUCUCGCGACGACGGGCCCUCGCGGGUGCUUAGCCCUUGACUCUUACCUUGACUAUGCGCACCUUUGUUGUUCCCUCGGCAGGUUUCCUGCCGCCAGGGACCCCAUCAACCCUUUAGCAUAAGCAUAAAACGUCUGAAAACAAAUUUAAUUAUUUA
rnacentral:misc_RNA from 1 species